GAGAGGUAACGGCUCACCAAGGCAUCGACGGGUAACUGGUCUGAGAGGAUGAUCAGCCACACUGGAACUGAGACACGGUCCAGACUCCUACGGGAGGCAGCAGUGGGGAAUCUUGCACAAUGGGCGAAAGCCUGAUGCAGCGAUGCCGCGUGCGGGAAGAAGGCCCUAGGGUUGUAAACCGCUUUCAGGAGGGAAGAAAAUGACGGUACCUCCAGAAGAAGGCGCGGCCAACUACGUGCCAGCAGCCGCGGUAACACGUAGGCACCAAGCGUUAUCCGGAUUUAUUGGGCGUAAAGAGCUCGUAGGCGGUUCAGUCAGUCGGGUGUGAAAACUUGAGGCUUAACCUCAAGAGGUCACUCGAUACUACUGUGACUAGAGUGCGGUAGGGGAGCGGGGAAUUCCAGGUGUAGCGGUGAAAUGCGCAGAUAUCAGGAGGAACACCAGUGGCGAAGGCGCCGCUCUGGGCCGUAACUGACGCUGAGGAGCGAAAGCAUGGGUAGCAAACAGGAUUAGAUACCCUGGUAGUCCAUGCCGUAAACGUUGGGCACUAGGUGUGGGGGACAUUCCACGUUUUCCGUACCGUAGCUAACGCAUUAAGUG
rnacentral:rRNA from 1 species